AUAGCGUAUAUUAAAGUUGUUGCAGUUAAAAAGCUCGUAGUUGAACUUCAGAUUUGGUCGAGUGGUCCGCUUAACGGCGUGUUACUGCUUGACUGGGUCUUGUCUCUUGGUGAACCAUUGUGCCCUUUAUUGGAUGCUUUGGGGAACCAGGACUUUUACCUUGAGAAAAUUAGAGUGUUCAAAGCAGGCCUAUGCCUGGAUACAUUAGCAUGGAAUAAUAGAAUAGGACGUGUGGUUCUAUUUUGUUGGUUUCUAGAAUUGCCGUAAUGAUUAAUAGGGAUAGUUGGGGGCAUUGGUAUUCAGUCGCUAGAGGUGAAAUUCUUGGAUUUACGGAAGACUAACUUCUG
rnacentral:rRNA from 1 species